GACGAACGCUGGCGGCGUGCUUAACACAUGCAAGUCGAACGGAAAGGCCCUGCUUUUGUGGGGUGCUCGAGUGGCGAACGGGUGAGUAACACGUGAGUAACCUGCCCUUGACUUUGGGAUAACUUCAGGAAACUGGGGCUAAUACCGGAUAGGAGCUCCUGCUGCAUGGUGGGGGUUGGAAAGUUUCGGCGGUUGGGGAUGGACUCGCGGCUUAUCAGCUUGUUGGUGGGGUAGUGGCUUACCAAGGCUUUGACGGGUAGCCGGCCUGAGAGGGUGACCGGCCACAUUGGGACUGAGAUACGGCCCAGACUCCUACGGGAGGCAGCAGUGGGGAAUAUUGCACAAUGGGCGGAAGCCUGAUGCAGCAACGCCGCGUGCGGGAUGACGGCCUUCGGGUUGUAAACCGCUUUCGCCUGUGACGAAGCGUGAGUGACGGUAAUGGGUAAAGAAGCACCGGCUAACUACGUGCCAGUAGCCGCGGUGAUACGUAGGGUGCGAGCGUUGUCCGGAUUUAUUGGGCGUAAAGGGCUCGUAGGUGGUUGAUCGCGUCGGAAGUGUAAUCUUGGGGCUUAACCCUGAGCGUGCUUUCGAUACGGGUUGACUUGAGGAAGGUAGGGGAGAAUGGAAUUCCUGGUGGAGCGGUGUAAUGCGCAGAUAUCAGGAGGAACACCAGUGGCGAAGGCGGUUCUCUGGGCCUUUCCUGACGCUGAGGAGCGAAAGCGUGGGGAGCGAACAGGCUUAGAUACCCUGGUAGUCCACGCUGUAAACGGUGGGUACUAGGUGUGGGGUCCAUUCCACGGGUUCCGUGCCGUAGCUAACGCUUUAGGUACCCCGCCUGGGGAGUACGGCCGCAAGGCUAAAACUCAAAGGAAUUGACGGGGCCCCGCACAAGCGGCGGAGCAUGCGGAUUAAUUCGAUGCAACGCGUAGAACCUUACCUGGGUUUGACAUGGAUCGGGAGUGCUCAGAGAUGGGUGUGCCUCUUUUGGGGUCGGUUCACAGGUGGUGCAUGGCUGUCGUCAGCUCGUGUCGUGAGAUGUUGGGUUAAGUCCCGCAACGAGCGCAACCCUUGUUCACUGUUGCCAGCACGUUAUGGUGGGGACUCAGUGGAGACCGCCGGGGUCAACUCGGAGGAAGGUGGGGAUGACGUCAAGUCAUCAUGUCCCUUAUGUCCAGGGCUUCACGCAUGCUACAAUGGCUGGUACAGAGAGUGGCGAGCCUGUGAGGGUGAGCGAAUCUCGGAAAGCCGGUCUCAGUUCGGAUUGGGGUCUGCAACUCGACCUCAUGAAGUCGGAGUCGCCAGUAAUCGCAGAUCAGCAACGCUGCGGUGAAUACGUUCCCGGG
rnacentral:rRNA from 1 species